rnacentral:rRNA from 1 species
GACAGAGGUGCCAAGCGUUAGGCGGAAUCACUGGGCUUAAAGCGUGUGUAGGCGGAAUUCUAAGUACCUUGUGAAAUCCCACAGCUCAACUGUGGAACUGCUCGGUAUACUGGUUUUCUUGAGCCACUUAGGGGCUGUCGGAACAAGCGGUGGAGCGGUGAAAUGCGUAGAUAUCGGGAGGAACACCAAUGGCGAAGGCAGCUCGCUGGGACGGUACUGACGCUGAGGCGCGAAAGCGUGGGGAGCAAACAGG